rnacentral:lncRNA from 1 species
GUCAUAAUGGAAUGGGCCAUCAGCCGGCAGCCUGCAGAAUUUGGGGAACCUGCCUCCCCCAACCAUGAAUUUUUCAUGCCUCACCCGUCUCCAUCCCCUUCUCUCCCGGGGACUGCCUAACCAAAAAUGGGACUGAUAGCAUUCAAGCCUGUGCAGCACUGCAGCCGAUUAAUCAAUCUCAUGGAAGAAAAGCAAAUUAAAAGUCUUCACUGUAAAACUUAUCCAAGGGAUUAAUAUCUUGAUUCUGU